rnacentral:rRNA from 1 species
AUUGAACGCUGGCGGCAGGCCUAACACAUGCAAGUCGAGCGGCAGCGGGAAAGUAGCUUGCUACUUUUGCCGGCGAGCGGCGGACGGGUGAGUAAUGCCUGGGAAAUUGCCCAGUCGAGGGGGAUAACAGUUGGAAACGACUGCUAAUACCGCAUACGCCCUACGGGGGAAAGCAGGGGACCUUCAGGCCUUGCGCGAUUGGAUAUGCCCAGGUGGGAUUAGCUAGUUGGUGAGGUAAUGGCUCACCAAGGCGACGAUCCCUAGCUGGUCUGAGAGGAUGAUCAGCCAGACUGGAACUGAGACACGGUCCAGACUCCUACGGGAGGAAGCAGUGGGGAAUAUUGCACAAUGGGGGAAACCCUGAUGCAGCCAUGCCGCGUGUGUGAAGAAGGCCUUCGGGUUGUAAAGCACUUUCAGCGAGGAGGAAAGGUUGAUGCCUAAUACGUAUCAACUGUGACGUUACUCGCAGAAGAAGCACCGGCUAACUCCGUGCCAGCCGCCGCAGUAA